AGGAUAAUAGUUUUAAAAAAAACAUUUAACUUGCACUUAAAAAUUACAUUACCAAUGUUUAUCUUA
rnacentral:tRNA from 1 species